UGUGCAAUUGAUCUGUUGUAUGGUAAUGUCUGCUUAGCUGUUUAGAGAACUGUCAAGCUUUUUUCCAUAGUAAAUCUGCCAUAUUGCAUUCCCAUUAGCAAU
rnacentral:pre_miRNA from 1 species